rnacentral:lncRNA from 1 species
AGGGAUAGGAAUGAUAUGAUACAAGUCUACAAAGCGUUGCAUGGUAUAGAUGACAUCGACUGGAUGAGCCUAUUUACUUUAGCACCAUCUAAUAAUACUAGAGGUCACUCAUUAAAACUUUUUAAAAAACAGUGUAAGACCACACAUAGACUAAAUACUUUUUCAAUUAGAGUAGUGGAUCAGUGGAAUAACCUGUCAGAUUUAACGGUGACGGCAAAGACUCUGAAUAAUUUUAAGUCUGCAUUAAAUGGUGAAAAUUGGAACCUAUAUAAAUUCAUAUGUUCGUGUUAAGUGUUUCAGCUGCGCACACCUAAAUAAGUUUUUUUUUAAUAAGUUUAAUAUAUA